GAUGAAGAACGCAGCUAAAUGCGAUAAGUAGUGUGAAUUGCAGAAUUCAGUGAAUCAUCGAAUCUUUGAACGCACAUUGCGCCCCUUGGUAUUCCAUGGGGCAUGCCUGUUCGAGCGUCAUUUGUACCCUCAAGCUAUGCUUGGUGUUGGGUGUUUGUCCUCUCCUUUUGCGAUUGGACUCGCCUUAAAGACAUUGGCAGCCAGUGUAUUGGUCUUGAAGCGCAGCACAUUUUGCGAUUCUUGCUGAUAAUCACUAGCGUCCAGUAAGCCUAUUUUAACACUUUUGACCUCGGAUCAGGUAGGGAUACCCGCUGAACUUAAGCAUAUCAAUAAGCGGAGGA
rnacentral:misc_RNA from 1 species